UUUGUGCUGCAGGAGGUUGACAAUUGAAGCCGAUUUGAGAGCCGUGUAUCUUGCCUUUUUCCACUUGUUUUCGGUCAUCGUGCCAAGACCAAGACCAAGGCUCGAGGUAGUGUAGCAGCGGGGAUUAGGAAACGGAUGCGAGACGUCACUUAUAGGAAUGCAGGUUUUCUAUUUAGCAACGGGGAUAAGGAAACGGAUGCGAGACGUCACUUAUAGGAAUGCAGGUUUUCUAUAUAAUGUUUCGUCUCUCCACUGUUACACUCUCUUAUCUCGUCUCUUUUCUUCUUCUUGUUCUCUUUCUACUUCGCUUUCGUUGUUUCUACUUUCAUUUUCUCUUCCUCGGCGUCUCGGGUGUUUGGGGCCGACUCUACAGGUGGUUUCAAGUGUCAACGCCCCUUCCUCUCUAUCUGAUUCUAUAUAAUGUUGUCUCUCCACUGUUACAUUCUAAUAUCUCGUCUCUUUUCUUCUCGUCCUCUUUCUAUUUCUCCCUCAUUGCUUCACUUUACUUCUCUCGUUCUCUGCGUCUCGGGUCUUUGGGGCCGACUCGACGGUAGCCUCAUGUAUCCGCACUCCAAGCUUCCCAGAUUAUCGUACUCAGCACAUAGUAUUUUUCGGUUUCUCACCCAUCAGUAUAUAAAAGACCACCGGUACUUUACGUUUUUAACAUUAUCUUUAACUGGAUAUCGCUAAAGGUGCGGCUACGACAGUUUUGGGUCCUGAAACUGAUAAAUGAUUACUUUUUAACAUUAUCUUUAACUGGAUAUCGCUAAAGGUGCGGCUACGAUAGUUUCUUGGGUCCUGAAACUGAUAAAUGCUUACUUUUUAACAUUAUCCUUAACUGGAUAUCGCUAAAGGUGCGGCUAUGACAGUUUCUUGGGUCCUGAAACUGAUAAAUGCUUACUUUUUAACAUUAUCCUUAACUGGAUAUCGCUAAAGAUGCGGCUAUGACAGUUUCUUGGGUCCUGAAACUGAUAAAUGCUUACUUUUUUAACAUUAUCUUUAACUGGAUAUCGCUAAAGGUGCGGCUACGAUAGUUUCUUGGGUCCUGAAACUGAUAAAUGCUUACUUUUUUAACAUUAUCUUUAACUGGAUAUCGCUAAAGGUGCGGCUACGAUAGUUUCUUGGGUCCUGAAACUGAUAAAUGCUUACUUUUUAACAUUAUCUUUAACUGGAUAUCGCUAAAGAUG